rnacentral:rRNA from 1 species
GAUGAACGCUGGCGGCGUGCCUAAUACAUGCAAGUCGAGCGAACAGACGAGGAGCUUGCUCCUCUGACGUUAGCGGCGGACGGGUGAGUAACACGUGGAUAACCUACCUAUAAGACUGGGAUAACUUCGGGAAACCUGAUCUAAUACCGGAUAAUAUAUUGAACCGCAUGGUUCAUUAGUGAAAGACGGUUUUGCUGUCACUUAUAGGUGGAUCCGCGCCGCAUUAGCUAGUUGGUAAGGUAACGGCUUACCAAGGCUACGAUGCGUAGCCGACCUGAGAGGGUGAUCGGCCACACUGGAACUGAGACACGGUCCAGACUCCUACGGGAGGCAGCAGUAGGGAAUCUUCCGCAAUGGGCGAAAGCCUGACGGAGCAACGCCGCGUGAGUGAUGAAGGUCUUCGGAUCGUAAAACUCUGUUAUUAGGGAAGAACAAAUGUGUAAGUAACUAUGCACGUCUUGACGGUACCUAAUCAGAAAGCCACGGCUAACUACGUG